UACGGGGGGGGCAAGCGUUGUUCGGAAUUACUGGGCGUAAAGGGCUCGUAGGCGGCCAACUAAGUCAGACGUGAAAUCCCUCGGCUUAACCGGGGAACUGCGUCUGAUACUGGAUGGCUUGAGUUUGGGAGAGGGAUGCGGAAUUCCAGGUGUAGCGGUGAAAUGCGUAGAUAUCUGGAGGAACACCGGUGGCGAAGGCGGCAUCCUGGACCAACACUGACGCUGAGUGAGCGAAAGCCAGGGGAG
rnacentral:rRNA from 1 species